UACGGGGGGUGCGAGCGUUGUCCGGAAUCACUGGGCGUAAAGGGCGCGUAGGUGGCGUGAUAAGGGUGUGGUGAAAGCCCGGGGCUCAACCCCGGGUCUGCCAUGCCGACUGUCAGGCUGGAGUACUGUAGGGGCAGGCGGAAUUCCGGGUGUAGCGGUGGAAUGCGUAGAUAUAGGAAGGAACACCAGUGGCGAAGGCGACCACCUGGACUGAUACUGACACUGAGGUGCGAAAGCGUGGGGAGCAAACAGG
rnacentral:rRNA from 1 species